GGCCGACUGGCGCAACGGCAGCGCGUUCGACUCCAGUGUGUUUGGCAAUCGAAAGGUUAUCCGUUCAAAUCGGGUGUUGGUCA